UAUCUGUAAAUCACUAACACUCACAGAAAAAAUUUUCAGGGCUUAGAAUUUGCAUCACGCUCUCCCUUUGAAUUCGCUGUCGAAAGUUUAAUUUAGUCGGGAACACUUACGAUGAGCGCUCCAAGCAACAAAAUGUCGGCAACAGAUCAGAUGCGGGCUAUGCUGGAUCAGUUAAUGGGUACCACCCGUAACGGAGACGAGCGACAGCUGAAGUUUUCGGAUACACGCGUCUGCAAGUCGUUCCUGCUGGACUGCUGCCCCCACGACAUACUGGCAUCCACACGCAUGGAUCUCGGUGAGUGUCCCAAAGUGCAUGAUCUGGCUUUUCGUGCAGAUUACGAGAGUGCGGCCAAGUCGCGAGACUUCUACUACGACAUCGAGGCCAUGGAGCACCUGCAGGCCUUCAUUGCGGACUGCGACCGACGCACAGACUCGGCCAAGCAGCGGCUGAAGGAGACACAGGAGGAGCUGACCGCCGAGGUGGCCGAGAAGGCCAAUGCCGUCCACGCCCUCGCCGAGGAGAUCGGCAAGAAGCUGGCCAAAGCCGAGGCCCUGGGCGAGGCCGGUGAAGUGGAGGACAGCAUGGAGCUGAUGAAGGAGAUCGACGAGCUGCGCAGCAAGAAGAUCAAGGCCGAGCACGAGUACCGCACCUCGAUGCCCGCCUCUACGUACCAGCAGCAGAAGCUGCGCGUCUGCGAGGUCUGUUCCGCAUACCUGGGGAUCCACGACAACGACAUCCGUUUGGCGGACCACUUUGGUGGUAAGUUGCAUCUCGGCUUCCUCACCAUUCGAGAGAAGCUGAUCGAACUGGAGAAGACCGCUGCCCCGCGCAAGGUCGAGCUGAAGCGCACGGGUAAGAUACCAGAUCGUGACGAGGAGGGCCGAGGCGGCAGAAAUCGCUACUUUGUAGGUGGCCGUGAGCUAGACCGCCGAUCCCGGGUGCAUCGCUCGCGUUCCAGGGAGCGCCAGCGUCAACGGGAAUCGGAGCGCGGCGACCGGGACCGGGAGCGAGGCAACAGCAGCAGCAAUGGGAAGGCCGAAGGCAGCACUGAGCGUUCGUCCAAGGAGGCGCCAGAGGGACCGGACCGUGGCAGCGGCGGCGGUGGGCAGCGCGGUGGACGCGACAAUGAUCGCAUCAAUCGCAACAAUGACGGCCGGGAUCAUCGCGACCGAGAGCGCGAUGGACGACGAGACAGGGAUCGUCAUAUGCGUAACGACAGAGGACGCUUUGGUGGCGGCGGUGGAGGAGGCAGUGGUGGCGGCGAUCGCCGGGAUGACAGACGUCGCUCUCGUUCCAGAGACCGAUCGCCGCGUGGCGAGAGGCGAAACUACAAUCAUUUCGCUGGUAAUCACAACAACAAUCAUAGCAGCAACAACAAUCACCACAACAACAACAACAACAGACGGCGCUCCUACUCCCGCGAGCGCUACCGCCGUUAGGAGAGGCCCCCUGCGCACGUACGUAGAAAUAAUCCGAAUCAGAAACAGAAAAACAGGCACUACAAUCUGAAACUAAGAGAACACUAAUGAAGCACUCAGAAAUUAAAAAGAAAAAACCCUGGAACAAUAAAUUAAUAUAGCCGCUCCUUCAGACAGACACUCCGAUGUAGAGAUGAACAUUUGUAAAUUGUUAAUAAUCUCUUAUUUUUUAUCUUACUCUCCCAACCUCUUAAGACCGAAUAAAGCCUAAGCUCUGUUAACCAAACCGAAAAACCCAAUCCAAUCCAAUCCAACAAAAAUUAAAACUAAACCCGACCGAAAGCGAGAGAGAGAGAGAGAGAGAGAAAUGGCCUUACCGAAGCAUACAUACAUAUAUGAGAGUGCAUAUGAUAAUGAUUUGAUAGUCCCUCGAUCCUCGUUGAGAGGGGUUUUUUGGUAUGUAGAGACACACCCGAACGUAGAAGAACCCACCACCCAGUCCCCGAACGACAUCACAUCACAGUGUUGCCAAUUUUAGUAUAGAUAUUUGAUAUUGUAGAAUAUACAUACAUAUAUACAUAGAACUAGGAGAAGACCUCCUCAAACUGACAGUACAGUCCUCCGACUGCCUAGCGAGCCAUUUGCUUCAACAGAAUGAUAUAGUACCCUAUAUAGUACUCUAUGAAUAUCGGGCAUGAAGGAGCUAUAUUUAUAUAGCACAUAUAUAUAUGUAGCUGUGAAGGAGGGACCUUUUUAUACUAGUUGGUAACACUGUACAAACCCAUUCGACUCGUAAUAUACUCGUAAUAUACUCCCAGCUCUUAGCUCUAUUAUCUCUCUUUAUUGAUUCCAACCGAGGCGAAUCGCUGUACGAGCUUUUGGGGUAAGCCUCAACCAUAUAUAAAAACUCUUUCUCUAUCUGUAAUCUUCUCUACUUGAAGUUCCACAAUUUUGCAGCCCACACUCAGCUUUUUUUGGUACGUAUUGAGUAAAUAAAUAUCCAUAUAAACACCAGAAGACGUACGUACGUCCUACUCUAGCAUUAACGUUAGUGUUGUCUUGGCAGAUACUAUAUACUCAUUCGUUCGUUCGUUCGUUCGUACAUGCAUUUGACAUAGAUAAUAUCCAAUCCAGAUAAUCCAAUAUGAUACACGAUAGCUUUGGGUACGUAUCUACUCCGGCCGUUAAGAGAGAGAGAAAAAGAGAGAGUUCUGUAUUUCGUUUCGUUUUGUGUUGGGUACGUAUUAACGUUAGAGAAGAAAUGAUAUAUGUACGAUAUGAUAUGGUAAUGAUGAAAUGAUCUAGAGAUCGCAGAUCGCAGUGUGGUACGUAUGUAUACUGUAAUAUAUAUACAAUACUCAACCGUAAGCAGACAGACAGACAGAAGGCUUUAAUAGGGGUUGUCGGAGAUGCAGAUCCCAACCGGUUUAAAGGAGUUUUUAACAUACAAUAAUCUCGUAUUUCUCAUGCCAAAUGGUGGUGCUCUCUGCUCUGCAAAUGCCACAGAAUC
rnacentral:misc_RNA from 1 species